UACGAGGGGGGCAAGCGUUGUUCGGAAUCACUGGGCGUAAAGGGCGCGUAGGCGGCGCGACAAGUCAGGCGUGAAAGCCCCGGGCUCAACCCGGGAAUUGCGCUUGAUACUGUCGUGCUUGAGGCCGGGAGAGGAUGGCGGAAUUCCCAGUGUAGAGGUGAAAUUCGUAGAUAUUGGGAAGAACACCGGUGGCGAAGGCGGUUCUCUGGGCCUGUUCUGACGCUGAGGAGCGAAAGCGUGGGGAGCAAACAGG
rnacentral:rRNA from 1 species